GUUGGCUUAGAAGCAGCCAUCAUUUAAAGAAAGCGUAAUAGCUCACUGGUCGAGUCGGCCUGCGCGGAAGAUGUAACGGGGCUAAACCAUGCACCGAAGCUGCGGCAGCGACACUAUGUGUUGUUGGGUAGGGGAGCGUUCUGUAAGCCUGCGAAGGUGUGCUGUGAGGCAUGCUGGAGGUAUCAGAAGUGCGAAUGCUGACAUAAGUAACGAUAAAGCGGGUGAAAAGCCCGCUCGCCGGAAGACCAAGGGUUCCUGUCCAACGUUAAUCGGGGCAGGGUGAGUCGACCCCUAAGGCGAGGCCGAAAGGCGUAGUCGAUGGGAAACAGGUUAAUAUUCCUGUAC
rnacentral:rRNA from 1 species